CACAGUGUAACUACACUUGUCUUUUAUAUGUUGCAGUAAUUGAAUCUUUUGAUUCAAUUGGUUGCAUAAAUUAAAGUAAGUAAAUAUGACCUAUUUUCCUGCUCCACAUACUUAGCUAGCAAUUUGCCAGUUAGCUUCCCAGUCUGAACUUCUGGGCAAUGUCUUGAUUCAGUCAAAUUUUCUAUCUUGUAUCUCCUGAACUCCAAUAUUCUACUACAUCCACUCUGAAUGUUUUGCUUGCUGGUCUUCAGCAUGCUCUGAAUGCAGUAUCUGGUUUCUCUUACUUUAACCCGCCCAACUUGAAUGUGAUUCCCUUUUGAUUCCCUCCCAGUGAGGCGGUGCUUCACAAAGCAAACUGUUUGUCAAACUGUUGAUCUGUGGCUGUUUUAGAAGAUGAGGAGACAUGGUGACUGAGUUUUAGACAGUACUAGCCAGCUCAUGCAGCUUGUUUUUACUAGAUGGCAGUCCUAAAAGUACAUAUCUUUAAAAUAUGAAUAAAUACGUACAAUUCCAUAAUUAUUCGAUCCAGCGGUUAUAGAAGUUUUGUAAUAAUGCAAUUCAGGGAUUUUACAUUUUCUGGACUAAAGGAGGAUUUCAGUUCAACACCUGUGGUUUCUUAAUUUUUUCACUUAGUUCCACUACUGCUGUGGAUCUUGUAGUUAAUGUUUAAAGCCAGCACGGAGUCUGAAGCGAUGGAGGACAUUUACGUCAAUAUGGAACCUGUUGGACAAACUGCAUCUAAUCACACAGGUAAGAACGAAGUUACAGAGAAAUCUAGUAUGUAUUUAAUUCAAUUUUGCUAAGGUUGAGGUUUUUGUUAAGGUUCGAGCAUCUCCAAAGAGAGGCUCUGCCUCCAUGCGGCUGUAUCUUUGGGAAUCCUGAAUGUUUUACUUUUGGCUGAACUCAUCGCCCUCAGUGUACACACUCAUGACAUGACAGCAGAUUUUUCUGAUAUCAGCAACAUUCCGACCGAGCAGAACAGCAACAGCAAGUUUCCCUCCAUGAACGCUAACUUCACUGAAAUGGCUCC